rnacentral:rRNA from 1 species
AAUAACUCAGGGAAACUUGUGCUAAUACCGAAUGUGCCCUUGGGGGGAAAGAUUUAUCGCCUUUAGAGGGGCCCGCGUCUGAUUAGCUAGUUGGGAGUGUAAUGGACUACCAAGGGGACGAUCAGUAGCUGGUCUGAGAGGAUGAUCAGCCACAUUGGGACUGAGACACGGCCCAAACUCCUACGGGAGGCAGCAGUGGGGAAUCUUGCGCAAUGGGCGAAAGCCUGACGCAGCCAUGCCGCGUGAAUGAUGAAGGUCUUAGGAUUGUAAAAUUCUUUCACCGGGGACGAUAAUGACGGUACCCGGAGAAGAAGCCCCGGCUAACUUCGUGCCAGCAGCCGCGGUAAUACGAAGGGGGCUAGCGUUGCUCGGAAUUACUGGGCGUAAAGGGAGCGUAGGCGGACAUUUAAGUCAGGGGUGAAAUCCCGGGGCUCAACCUCGGAAUUGCCUUUGAUACUGGGUGUCUUGAGUAUGAGA